CUCUCUCUAGCUGCGUUUACAUGGACACUAAUAAUCCGAUCGUAAUUGGACUAGAAGCACAAUCAGAUUUAAAAAGUCACAUGUAAACACGUCAAUCGGAAUGAAUUGGCCAAAACCGAUUAAAAUUUCAUUCGGAUCGUAAGGGGUGGUUUAAACCUUUUCUAAUCCGAUGGAGAGGACGUGUAAACACUUCAUCGGGUUGAAAAUGAAACCAGAUAGUUCUGCGCAUGUGCAAUGACGUACAAAUCACGUAAUGACGUAUGACGCACGGCUGUCAGCGGUACUGGGGCUCUGACCGUAGCCUCACCAGGUGCCAUGUUCCCCUCCACCAUGGAGCAUCGUGUCAUAAAUGACUGUCGUGUCAUCCUACAAUUCUCCUUCCACUCCUCGUCUGUGAAGUGGUGCAAGACGACGUUGUCCCACCGGUCCUUGCUUCGGACCCUCAUCCACAGACGGUUUGUUCUGGGCUCGGGAAGGGGCAUUUUAAUUGCUUGAUAAAUACACGCAGUAUAAUACACAACACAUCACGCGCUCGCGUCUUCUAAUUAGCAGCUGAAAUAGGCAAAUGUUAAGUCUGCUUUUUAAAAUGAAAAAAAAGCAAUGGCAAGAGAGUGGCUGCUAGUAUCUGCGUGUUGGAACGGAGGGAAACGUGUAAUCGUGCACUGUGCGCAUGUCAGAAGAUCAAAUCCGAUUCUGUCAAGUAAACGCGCACAUCAACCCGAUUACUUUAUUCAGCGUUCUUGUAAACACUGCGAUCGGAUUAAUCAAUCUGAUUGAUUUCAUUCCGAUUGAAACAAAAAGUGUCCAUGUAAAUGUGACUUGUCUCUCACUCUCUCUCUCUCACACACACACACACACACACACACACACUUCUCCCCGCCUCCUCACACACCCACGUCACAGGAUUAACCAAUCAGAGUGCACUAAAAAAAAAGCGCGAAUAAAUUGAAAGUAAAGAUGAUGUACUGCAGUAACUGUGUGUGUAACUCUGUGGGAUGAAGUUUCUGUUAAACUCCUAACCUGUUUACUUCUAUUUAAUCAUCUUCAUCAUCAUCUUCAUCCUCCUCCUCUCUGCAGUGUCCUUUACAAUGCGCCGUCGCAGAUCAGUCAAGUCUGACGUGAGCCGAAGUGAAGAUCCUGAACUUUCAGCACAAAAACAACAGAAGCAUCAAGAAGAACCUCAGAUGAACAUCAGACAAAGAAGAUCUCUGAUUAUUCCUCUUAAUUUCUCCUCACAAGUUGAGAGCAAGAACAUCAUGGGCAUGUAUCUCCAAACCAGCGCUGUGCAUCCAAACCCAUUAACAACAGCAAUUACAACGAGUGUGUGAGAGUUCAGCGGAGCAGAUUCACGACGUCCAAAUGCCUCUCUGUGUCUGACGCCAUGUUGCUCACACACACGCACACCCACACACACACACACACACCCAGUGUCAGCUCAUUAUAAUUAUAGAAAUGUGAUUAUUACCUGCUUCUGCACUUCUGUAAAAAUAAUCCUGAUUUGUGUUUUAAUCCACAAACGUUGAAAUGAUUCUUUCACUUAGAAUGUUUGAGUCUAAAUAACAUUAUACAAUAACACUAGAUUGUAAAUAUAGUAAAUUACACUAUAUAUAUAGUAUUUGUAUGUAGAAUCACUGCGAUUAUUUAUAUUGACUUUUGAAUACAGAAAUGAAUCAA